rnacentral:rRNA from 1 species
AGGAGGCUAAGGAAUGCAGACGAUUGGAAAUGUCUGUUCAAGCAACGAGUCUGAGUGAGAGUCAAAUGCUUUCAUUCGCGACGGAUGAGUUGUGAUGAGGAGGGAAAUUAUAGUACCGAAGUUCCUGAUGUCACACUGCCAAGAAAAGCUUCUAGUUAGAAAGUAACGGCCCGUACCGUAAACCGACACAGGUAGUCGAGGAGAGUAUCCUAAGGUGAGCGAGAGAACUCUCGUUAAGGAACUCGGCAAAAUGACCCCGUAACUUCGGGAGAAGGGGUGCUGCUCUAUGAGCAGCCGCAGUGAAUAGGCCCAAGCGACUGUUUAUCAAAAACACAGGUCUCUGCAAAAUCGUAAGAUGAAGUAUAGGGGCUGACGCCUGCCCGGUGCUGGAAGGUUAAGAGGAGUGCUUAGCGCAAGCGAAGGUACGAAUUGAAGCCCCAGUAAACGGCGGCCGUAACAAUAACGGUCCUAAGGUAGCGAAAUUCCUUGUCGGGUAAGUUCCGACCCGCACGAAAGGCGUAACGAUUUGGGCACUGUCUCAACGAGAGACUCGGUGAAAUUUUAGUACCUGUGAAGAUGCAGGUUACCCGCGACAGGACGGAAAGACCCCAUGGAGCUUUACUGUAGUUUGAUAUUGAGUGUCUGUACCGCAUGUACAGGAUAGGUAGGAGCCGUAGAAGUCGGAACGCUAGUUUCGAUGGAGGCAAUGGUGGGAUACUACCCUCGCGUUAUGGCCACUCUAACCCGCACCACUAAUCGUGGUGGGAGACAGUGUCAGAUGGGCAGUUUGACUGGGGCGGUCGCCUCCUAAAAGGUAACGGAGGCGCCCAAAGGUUCCCUCAGAAUGGUUGGAAAUCAUUCGAAGAGUGUAAAGGCAGAAGGGAGCUUGACUGCGAGAGCUACAACUCGAGCAGGGACGAAAGUCGGGCUUAGUGAUCCGGUGGUUCCGCAUGGAAGGGCCAUCGCUCAACGGAUAAAAGCUACCCUGGGGAUAACAGGCUUAUCUCCCCCAAGAGUCCACAUCGACGGGGAGGUUUGGCACCUCGAUGUCGGCUCGUCGCAUCCUGGGGCUGUAGUCGGUCCCAAGGGUUGGGCCGUUCGCCCAUUAAAGCGGCACGCGAGCUGGGUUCAGAACGUCGUGAGACAGUUCGGUCCCUAUCCGUCGCGGGCGUUGGAAAUUUGAGAGGAGCUGUCCUUAGUACGAGAGGACCGGGAUGGACUUACCGCUGGUGUACCAGUUGUCUCGCCAGAGGCAUCGCUGGGUAGCUAUGUAGGGAAGGGAUAAACGCUGAAAGCAUCUAAGUGUGAAGCCCACCUCAAGAUGAGAUUUCCCAUUUCUUUAAGAAAGUAAGAUCCCUGAGAGAUGAUCAGGUAGAUAGGUCAGA